rnacentral:rRNA from 2 species
UGGUGCUUGCAUCAUGAUUUACAUUUGAGUGAGUGGCGAACUGGUGAGUAACACGUGGGAAACCUGCCCAGAAGCGGGGGAUAACACCUGGAAACAGAUGCUAAUACCGCAUAACAACUUGGACCGCAUGGUCCGAGCUUGAAAGAUGGCUUCGGCUAUCACUUUUGGAUGGUCCCGCGGCGUAUUAGCUAGAUGGUGGGGUAACGGCUCACCAUGGCAAUGAUACGUAGCCGACCUGAGAGGGUAAUCGGCCACAUUGGGACUGAGACACGGCCCAAACUCCUACGGGAGGCAGCAGUAGGGAAUCUUCCACAAUGGACGAAAGUCUGAUGGAGCAACGCCGCGUGAGUGAAGAAGGGUUUCGGCUCGUAAAACUCUGUUGUUAAAGAAGAACAUAUCUGAGAGUAACUGUUCAGGUAUUGACGGUAUUUAACCAGAAAGCCACGGCUAACUACGUGCCAGCAGCCGCGGUAAUACGUAGGUGGCAAGCGUUGUCCGGAUUUAUUGGGCGUAAAGCGAGCGCAGGCGGUUUUUUAAGUCUGAUGUGAAAGCCUUCGGCUCAACCGAAGAAGUGCAUCGGAAACUGGGAAACUUGAGUGCAGAAGAGGACAGUGGAACUCCAUGUGUAGCGGUGAAAUGCGUAGAUAUAUGGAAGAACACCAGUGGCGAAGGCGGCUGUCUGGUCUGUAACUGACGCUGAGGCUCGAAAGUAUGGGUAGCAAACAGGAUUAGAUACCCUGGUAGUCCAUACCGUAAACGAUGAAUGCUAAGUGUUUGGAAGGGUUUCCGCCCCUUCAGUGCUGCAGCUAACGCAUUAAGCAUUCCGCCUGGGGGAGUACGGCCGCAAGGCUGAAACUCAAAGGAAUUGACGGGGGCCCGCACAAGCGGUGGAGCAUGGGGGUUUAAUUCGAAGCUACGCGAAGAACCUUACCAGGUCUUGACAUACUAUGCAAAUCUAAGAAGAUUAGACGUUCCCUUCGGGGACAUGGAUACAAGGUGGGGGCAAGGGUUGUCGUCAACUCCUGUCCUGAAAAAAUUUGGGGUUAAUUCCCCCCACCAAGGCCACCCCUUAUUAUCAUUUGCCACCAUUAAAUUUGGGCACUCCUGGUGGAGACUGCCGGUGAAAACCCGAGGAAAAGGGGGGGGGUGGAGGGGGGAAAACAUUAAUGGCCCUUUUUAAACCUGGGGGUCACCACCCGC